rnacentral:rRNA from 1 species
UACCAGCACCCCGAGUGGUCGGGACGAUUAUUGGGCCUAAAGCAUCCGUAGCCGGUCCUACAAGUCUUCCGUUAAAUCCACCUGCUCAACAGAUGGGCUGCGGAAGAUACUAUAGGGCUAGGAGGCGGGAGAGGCAAGCGGUACUCAGUGGGUAGGGGUAAAAUCCUCUGAUCCAUUGAAGACCACCAGUGGCGAAGGCGGCUUGCCAGAACGCGCUCGACGGUGAGGGAUGAAAGCUGGGGGAGCGAACAGG